rnacentral:rRNA from 1 species
ACUCCUACGGGAGGCAGCAGUGGGGAAUAUUGCACAAUGGGCGCAAGCCUGAUGCAGCCAUGCCGCGUGUAUGAAGAAGGCCUUCGGGUUGUAAAGUACUUUCAGCGGGGAGGAAGGCGAUAAGGUUAAUAACCUUGUUGAUUGACGUUACCCGCAGAAGAAGCACCGGCUAACUCCGUGCCAGCAGCCGCGGUAAUACGGAGGGUGCAAGCGUUAAUCGGAAUUACUGGGCGUAAAGCGCACGCAGGCGGUCUGUCAAGUCGGAUGUGAAAUCCCCGGGCUCAACCUGGGAACUGCAUUCGAAACUGGCAGGCUAGAGUCUUGUAGAGGGGGGUAGAAUUCCAGGUGUAGCGGUGAAAUGCGUAGAGAUCUGGAGGAAUACCGGUGGCGAAGGCGGCCCCCUGGACAAAGACUGACGCUCAGGUGCGAAAGCGUGGGGAGCAAACAGGAUUAGAAACCCGAGUAGUCCCAUGA